rnacentral:rRNA from 1 species
UAAUGUAUGGGGAUCUGCCCGAUAGAGGGGGAUAACUACUGGAAACGGUGGCUAAUACCGCAUAAUGUCUACGGACCAAAGCAGGGGCUCUUCGGACCUCGCACUAUCGGAUGAACCCAUAUGGGAUUAGCUAGUAGGUGGGGUAAAGGCUCACCUAGGCGACGAUCUCUAGCUGGUCUGAGAGGAUGAUCAGCCACACUGGGACUGAGACACGGCCCAG